rnacentral:rRNA from 1 species
GACGAACGCUGGCGGCGCGCCUAACACAUGCAAGUCGAACGAGCGAGAGAGAGCUUGCUUUCUCGAGCGAGUGGCGAACGGGUGAGUAACGCGUGAGGAACCUGCCUCAAAGAGGGGGACAACAGUUGGAAACGACUGCUAAUACCGCAUAAGCCCACGGGUCGGCAUCGACCAGAGGGAAAAGGAGCAAUCCGCUUUGAGAUGGCCUCGCGUCCGAUUAGCUAGUUGGUGAGGUAACGGCCCACCAAGGCAACGAUCGGUAGCCGGACUGAGAGGUUGAACGGCCACAUUGGGACUGAGACACGGCCCAGACUCCUACGGGAGGCAGCAGUGGGGAAUAUUGCACAAUGGGGGAAACCCUGAUGCAGCGACGCCGCGUGGAGGAAGAAGGUCUUCGGAUUGUAAACUCCUGUUGUUGGGGAAGAUAAUGACGGUACCCAACAAGGAAGUGACGGCUAACUACGUGCCAGCAGCCGCGGUAAAACGUAGGUCACAAGCGUUGUCCGGAAUUACUGGGUGUAAAGGGAGCGCAGGCGGGAAGACAAGUUGGAAGUGAAAUCUAUGGGCUCAACCCAUAAACUGCUUUCAAAACUGUUUUUCUUGAGUAGUGCAGAGGUAGGCGGAAUUCCCGGUGUAGCGGUGGAAUGCGUAGAUAUCGGGAGGAACACCAGUGGCGAAGGCGGCCUACUGGGCACCAACUGACGCUGAGGCUCGAAAGUGUGGGUAGCGAACAGGAUUAGAUACCCUGGUAGUCCACACCGUAAACGAUGAUUACUAGGUGUUGGAGGAUUGACCCCUUCAGUGCCGCAGUUAACACAAUAAGUAAUCCACCUGGGGAGUACGACCGCAAGGUUGAAACUCAAAGGAAUUGACGGGGGCCCGCACAAGCAGUGGAGUAUGUGGUUUAAUUCGACGCAACGCGAAGAACCUUACCAAGUCUUGACAUCCCUUGACAGACAUAGAAAUAUGUAUUCUCUUCGGAGCAAGGAGACAGGUGGUGCAUGGUUGUCGUCAGCUCGUGUCGUGAGAUGUUGGGUUAAGUCCCGCAACGAGCGCAACCCUUAUGGUCAGUUACUACGCAAGAGGACUCUGGCCAGACUGCCGUUGACAAAACGGAGGAAGGUGGGGAUGACGUCAAAUCAUCAUGCCCUUUAUGACUUGGGCUACACACGUACUACAAUGGCGUUAAACAAAGAGAAGCAAGACCGCGAGGUGGAGCAAAACUCAGAAACAACGUCCCAGUUCGGACUGCAGGCUGCAACUCGCCUGCACGAAGUCGGAAUUGCUAGUAAUCGUGGAUCAGCAUGCCACGGUGAAUACGUUCCCGGGCCU